rnacentral:rRNA from 1 species
GACAGAGGGUGCAAACGUUGUUCGGAAUUACUGGGUGUAAAGCGUGUGUAGGCGGCCAUUCAAGUCGGAUGUGAAAGCCCCGGGCUCAACCCGGGAAGUGCACCCGAAACUGGAUGGCUUGAGUAUCGGAGAGGUUGGUGGAAUUCUCGGUGUAGAGGUGAAAUUCGUAGAUAUCGAGAGGAACACCGGUGGCGAAGGCGGCCAACUGGACGAAUACUGACGCUGAGACACGAAAGCGUGGGGAGCAAACAGG